CGUCAUACGAAGAAUUGGUAUGUUAAGUUUUACCAGUUCAUCGUCUGACGUUUA
rnacentral:pre_miRNA from 1 species